rnacentral:rRNA from 1 species
UACGUAGGGUGCGAGCGUUGUCCGGAAUUAUUGGGCGUAAAGAGCUUGUAGGCGGUUUGUCGCGUCUGCUGUGAAAAUCCGGGGCUCAACCCCGGACUUGCAGUGGGUACGGGCAGACUGGAGUGUGGUAGGGGAGACUGGAAUUCCUGGUGUAGCGGUGGAAUGCGCAGAUAUCAGGAGGAAUACCGAUGGCGAAGGCAGGUCUCUGGGCAACAACUGACGCUGAGGAGCGAAAGCGUGGGGAGCGAACAGG